rnacentral:rRNA from 1 species
UACGUAGGGUGCGAGCGUUAAUCGGAAUUACUGGGCGUAAAGCGUGCGCAGGCGGUUUUUUAAGUCAGAUGUGAAAUCCCCGGGCUUAACCUGGGAACUGCGUUUGAAACUGGAAAGCUUGAGUGCGGCAGAGGGGGGUGGAAUUCCACGUGUAGCAGUGAAAUGCGUAGAGAUGUGGAGGAACACCGAUGGCGAAGGCAGCCCCCUGGGUCGACACUGACGCUCAUGCACGAAAGCGUGGGGAGCAAACAGG